UGGGGAAUAUUGGACAAUGGGCGAAAGCCUGAUCCAGCCAUGCCGCGUGUGUGAAGAAGGUCUUCGGAUUGUAAAGCACUUUAAGUUGGGAGGAAGGGUUGUAGAUUAAUACUCUGCAAUUUUGACGUUACCGACAGAAUAAGCACCGGCUAACUCUGUGCCAGCAGCCGCGGUAAUACAGAGGGUGCAAGCGUUAAUCGGAAUUACUGGGCGUAAAGCGCGCGUAGGUGGUUAGAUAAGUUGGAUGUGAAAUCCCCGGGCUCAACCUGGGAACUGCAUUCAAAACUGACUGACUAGAGUAUGGUAGAGGGUGGUGGAAUUUCCUGUGUAGCGGUGAAAUGCGUAGAUAUAGGAAGGAACACCAGUGGCGAAGGCGACCACCUGGACUGAUACUGACACUGAGGUGCGAAAGCGUGGGGAGCAAACA
rnacentral:rRNA from 1 species